rnacentral:sRNA from 2 species
UUGUAUGCGCGUUAGGGAUUGCAGCGGCAUCCUUUUUUAGGGGCAUAGGCCCUAAAAAAGAUAUAGCGGAAAGCCCGGCCCGAU